rnacentral:rRNA from 1 species
AUGAACGCUAGCGACAGGCUUAACACAUGCAAGUCGAGGGGCAGCACAGGUAGCAAUACCGGGUGGCGACCGGCGCACGGGUGAGUAACGCGUAUGCAACUUACCUAUCAGAGGGGGAUAACCCGGCGAAAGUCGGACUAAUACCGCAUGAAGCAGGGGCCCCGCAUGGGGAUAUUUGCUAAAGAUUCAUCGCUGAUAGAUAGGCAUGCGUUCCAUUAGGCAGUUGGCGGGGUAACGGCCCACCAAACCGACGAUGGAUAGGGGUUCUGAGAGGAAGGUCCCCCACAUUGGUACUGAGACACGGACCAAACUCCUACGGGAGGCAGCAGUGAGGAAUAUUGGUCAAUGGCCGAGAGGCUGAACCAGCCAAGUCGCGUGAGGGAUGAAGGUUCUAUGGAUCGUAAACCUCUUUUAUAAGGGAAUAAAGUGCGGGACGUGUCCCGUUUUGUAUGUACCUUAUGAAUAAGGAUCGGCUAACUCCGUGCCAGCAGCCGCGGUAAUACGGAGGAUCCGAGCGUUAUCCGGAUUUAUUGGGUUUAAAGGGUGCGUAGGCGGCCUUUUAAGUCAGCGGUGAAAGUCUGUGGCUCAACCAUAGAAUUGCCGUUGAAACUGGGGGGCUUGAGUAUGUUUGAGGCAGGCGGAAUGCGUGGUGUAGCGGUGAAAUGCAUAGAUAUCACGCAGAACCCCGAUUGCGAAGGCAGCCUGCCAAGCCAUGACUGACGCUGAUGCACGAAAGCGUGGGGAUCAAACAGGAUUAGAUACCCUGGUAGUCCACGCAGUAAACGAUGAUAACUCGUUGUCGGCGAUACACAGUCGGUGACUAAGCGAAAGCGAUAAGUUAUCCACCUGGGGAGUACGUUCGCAAGAAUGAAACUCAAAGGAAUUGACGGGGGCCCGCACAAGCGGAGGAACAUGUGGUUUAAUUCGAUGAUACGCGAGGAACCUUACCCGGGUUUGAACGCAUUCGGACCGAGGUGGAAACACCUUUUCUAGCAAUAGCCGUUUGCGAGGUGCUGCAUGGUUGUCGUCAGCUCGUGCCGUGAGGUGUCGGCUUAAGUGCCAUAACGAGCGCAACCCUUGCCACUAGUUACUAACAGGUAAAGCUGAGGACUCUGGUGGGACUGCCAGCGUAAGCUGCGAGGAAGGCGGGGAUGACGUCAAAUCAGCACGGCCCUUACAUCCGGGGCGACACACGUGUUACAAUGGCGUGGACAAAGGGAAGCCACCUGGCGACAGGGAGCGAAUCCCCAAACCACGUCUCAGUUCGGAUCGGAGUCUGCAACCCGACUCCGUGAAGCUGGAUUCGCUAGUAAUCGCGCAUCAGCCAUGGCGCGGUGAAUACGUUCCCGGGCCUUGUACACACCGCCCGUCAAGCCAUGGGAGCCGGGGGUACCUGAAGUCCGUAACCGCGAGGAUCGGCCUAGGGUAAAACUGGUGACUGGGGCU